ACUAGCUGUUAUCAAACCCCUGAUUAAAAAAACAACAACAAGUUUCCCACUGAAGCUAAGCAGGUUUGAGCCUGGCCAGUACCUGGAUGGGAGACCUCCUGAGGAAAACUAAGGUUGCUGCUGGAA
rnacentral:rRNA from 1 species